GGAGGCUGUUGCAAUAACCCAGACAGGAGAUGAUGAGGGCUUGACCUUGGGCUGUGGUAGCGGGACAGGGAGAGGGACGGGUUGAGAAACAUUUAGGAGGUCAAGUUGUUGGGACCCAGAGACUGAUGGGAUGUGUGUGGGAUGAGAGGGAGGAGUCAAGGUGGCCUUGUCCUGGGGCUGAGCAGUGGUGCAACCCAGCCCUGAGGAAUUCCGGGAGUGGAGCCGACUUGGAAACUCAAGGCCAAUCUCAGGUUGAGACAUGGUCCACCAGAUGACCGGCUGGCCUCCUAAUUGGGCUUCCUGCAUUCCUGCCUGUGCUCGGAGCUCCCUUCUCCACUUGCCUGCUGGAGGAGGUUUACAAACAAAAUCAGAUCAUGGCACUCCCCUGGGGCCCUGCAUCCUGUGGCCAGCAGGUCUUGGAAACGCCCCUGUACCCCAGAAACUUCCUGAUCAGUCCCUGGUCAGUGUAUAUCAUGCUUCCUGUGACAUGACAUCAACUUUUCAGUGACUUCCACUGGUUUUGGCCCAGCUCGAAGAGCCUGACACCUCUGCAGGGAAUUCUACCAGGGAGCUCAGGAGGGGGAAUUGCACUGAAGAUUUGUCCCAUCGUGAAGCAAGAGCACUGGAACUUACACUCCACCAUCAGGCCCUGUCACAGGAGAACAAAGAAGGAAGGCAGAGGAGAUCAUGCUCCGGCCAGCAGGGAAUCUCCAUUUUUUUCAGCCUCAUACCUUGGAAAGUACAAAGGAGUGAGAGCUGGGACUACCAGCCAGAGGGUUCAUGGAGGUAGUGGGAGGGGAAGAUGGGUUCUGCAUGGAGCCACUCCAGGGACUUUUCUUCUGUCUCACAGCCUGACAAUCACCUCUAGCUGUUCUCAGUCCCAUUCUCAUCAAUGACCUCGUCUCCUGAUUUUGUACAAUAUCUAGGUGACCUUCUCUUCUUUCCAUCUUCAAACGCUUGAUCAUUGAUGCUCCCUUUUCUCUUCUCUCUCCUCCUGGGAAAAGAGAAGGACCAACAUCCCCCUUUCCCUUCCUCCUGUGCUGUCCCGACCCCUCUGAGACCUGGCUCUAGCAGUAAGUCCCUCUCUCUUCUGCAGCACCAGCCUCUGCCCAUCCCUGCCCUCUGCACACAAAGCUCUCACAUUGUCUGCACUUUAAGAACUUUUGUGGCAAACCCUGGCAAAUCCUGCCACUUGUUUCCACUCUUCUCAAAUGGCUUUGAGGUCAUCAUUGACCUAUCCCAUUUGACCCUGUCCUGUAUCUGAUGUUGUACCCUUUCUCCUUGAUCCCACUCUGGCAACUCUCCCACUCCCCUUUCUUGGAUCAACUGUCUUGCUCCUCAGUCUUGAUCAAUGCCUCCUUCUCUCUCUUUAGCCUUGGCCCUUUUUGGCCAGGGAAAUAAAUGUGAAAUACAUAAAGCUUCAUUUUAUCUUAUGAUUAUAGCUAUGUUGAUGUUACCCAAGACCUAAAAGUCACACUCUCUAAUUACACUUCCCUCCUGUGUUCUGGGUCCUCUUGGACCAGUCCUUACUCUGGCUCCCCUCCUGGAUGUCUCCCAGACUUCUAAUUAGAAUUACUGUUUCCUAUAUCAAGCUAAUUAUCUUUCCCACCAACCUCCUCCAUCCUUGGGUGAAAGCAUCACUUGGUUGCAAAAGUCAGAAAUCUGGGUUUCAUUCUUGCGGUAGGUAGAAUAAUGCCCCCAGGCCCCAGGUUUUGACAUCCGAAUCCCUGGGACUUUGCAGAUGUGAUUCAGUUUAGGAUUUUGAGAUGGGGAGAUUAUCUGGGAGAGCCUGAUGUCAUCAUAAGGUUCUUAUAAGAGGGAGGCAGGAGGGUUAGAGUGAGUAGUAAGAGAUGCAACAGUGGAAGCAAGAGGUUGGGGUGAUGUGGCCACAAGCCCAGGAGUGCUGACAGACAUCAGAAGCUGGAAGGGACAAGGAAUGGUUUCUCCUCUGGAGCCUCCAGAAAGAACCAGCCCUGCUGACACCUUGAUUUUAGCCUUGGAAGACUCAUUUUGGACUUCUGACCUUGAACGUUGUAAGAGAAUAAAUUUACAUAUUUUAAACUGGUA
rnacentral:lncRNA from 1 species